rnacentral:tRNA from 1 species
GCGGCCGUGGUCUAGCCUGGUUAGGACCCAGGCUCCCCGGGCCUGUGGCGCGGGUUCGAAUCCCGCCGGCCGCA